UAACUGAAAAUAAAUAAUAAUUUAAAAAAUGGGGGUACAUGCUGCUAGAUUUAGCUAAUCAAAAUAUACUAAUAACAUUAUACCGGGUGUUUCAAGUAAACCUUUUCUUACUAGAAUCCCCAAUUAAAGAAUUUCUGGUUAUUGAGGAAGUUUCGCUGUGUCCAAUCCAAGAAUGAUUGGAUUGAACACGAUGUUAUUUAAUAAACCAAGUCAAAUGUUUAUUAUAUUACAUAAGGCUUUUAUUAUUCGAUUGAUAGCAUCUGCCUUAAAUAUUAUAUUUUCUAUCGAAUUAGUUGAUUGAUAAUUUAAAGUUUAUAAUAAUUAUUUUCUCGAACAAUACUUACUGUUCAAUUUUUUUAAUCCUACAACUCUCACUAACGUCCCGGCACAAAGAAAAACUACAACUCUAGCUGAUGCUACUAUAAAAGUAUUGAGAUAAACUGAAAAAUUAUUCAGAUCCUACAACAUAAAAGAUCAAAUAAAGUUAAAUAUCAAAAGAGUUGCGGGAAAAGUGAACAUAAGAGUACCAAGUAAUAACAAUGACUUAAAAUAGUGAAUUCAAGAAGAAAAAUCCAAAUGAUUCAAUUAUUACAAAUGUAGGAUAAGCAAGAAGAUAAAAUAAAGCAAAUAGGAAUAACUGGAGAGAAAAUAACAACAAAUAACCCAAAAAAAAACAGUUGAACAAGAAUUUGUUCGAGAAUCAAUCACGGCUAACAAAAUCAAAUCGAAUUAUCAAUCAACAUGAUUAGUUAAUUUUAAAUUUAGUUUCAUUAAAGCAAUCCAUUCAACCCAUAUUAUUAAUCUGGAAAAUGAAGUGAAUAACGUAAUUCUUCUUUAACUUGGCCCCUAGUCAUCCCCUAUAUGACUGCACAGCCAUGGAAUAUUGUAAUUUGCAAAUGUGUUUAAGCAUAUUAUGGAAUGUUUUUGAACUGUUGCAAGGUUAUUCUUCUUUCCCUUGGCACUUGGGCUUCACCUGUUCGACUAAACAGCCAUGGAAUAUUCUGGAAGUGUUUCAACAAAGCAGAAAAGCAGAACGUACCAAUAAAAUAGGAAGUUGACUUGUUCUCCACAUAUUUUCCUCAAAGGAAAUUGAUAUAUGAAUUUAAGAGUAGAUUACUGUAGAAACAGUUUAAAAUUGUCAAGAGAAAAUGAAAUUGGAAGCGUUUCAUUUAACACCGUUUGCUGAAACUAUUUUAAUAGUGAAAUAUUUACCACCGAACAACUUUGCGUAGAUGUAACAUUUGUUUCUUUUAAUUCUUCCAACAUAACGCACAUACUACUGCUGGUUCCAUUAUGACUAUUCUGGUAAUCACUUAUAGCCUGGAAAAUACUAGGAAGCCAGAAUUUUAAGGAAGAACUUGGAAUAAGAAAAUGCGGCUUAUAAAACAACAUGGCAACAUGAUAAACAAAGCGAAUUAUAGAACGGUAGUACGUCAUAAGGAGUGGGGAUGUCCGCUAACUUGAAUGUCAAUGGAAGUGACUCUAUCUGUUAACUGUCAUUUGUUUAUGGUCAUAUCCGCCAUCUUGGAUGUUAUAUGUCAUGUGUGCUGUGAGUUGUUUGUGUUGUUUUUCAUUUUUGAAAGUAGUGGAAUUAGUGUAGUUCACCAUGUUUUUAGAAAAUAGAAAUCGAGAUCAAUACGUAAACGUGCAAAAACCAUCCGUUACUUAACGCUGUUGCCAAUUCUAUCCGACUUGUCGACAUAUUCAUGUUCGCUUCUUUAACCAAAGUUUUAACCUAUGAAAAUUUGAUAUGUAUUAAUUAUACAGGGUGUAAUAAUUAAACAAUGAAAAAUUACAAAUAGAUUUCUUCUUUCCUGAUAACGUUAAUUCAGUCGAAUCCUCUGACAUUUCUCCUUUUUCCCCGUUAACAAAGUCCAA